rnacentral:lncRNA from 1 species
AUCAUAAUAACACAAAAAAUAUGAACGGUUACCAUUGUAUAUGUUUAGCAUAUAGAAAAUAUGAACACGGGAGGGUAUCGAAUGCUCACUGGAUCACUCCUAUCACAAAAUGUCUAUUUGCCCCGAUCAGACAAUUUUGCUAUUUUCAUGUUAAUUAAAUACUGUUAUAGAACACAGCCUUCCAAAUACCGUUUCGAUCCCUAACAUCACUGAAGAGACAUUUA